rnacentral:misc_RNA from 1 species
AAAAAAUAGAACAGCACAUUUAAGGAAAAAAAGAAAAGAGUUCGUUUGCAGACAUUGGCUGAUGUUGAGUGAUAAAUUUGAAUGCUAUAUGGGGCAUUUAACGUGAUUGUCUAGUGUAAAAGCUUUGGCUUUUGCUUAGGUAAAAUGAAAUGAAGAAUAAUAGUGAAGAGCGAGCAAGCUGGGUACAGUUUAUUUGCUAACCAUAAAGGGGAGACUUGACUGUCUUCAACUGAUUAAUUUACCAAUAAUAUCAUUCGAAGCUUAGAAAAUGGUGCAUUUCUAUAUGCUGUAUCGGCAACGUCCUGCACUAAUCAUGAAGAGUAGAACUUGUACAAUGUAUGAAAAAGCUUUGAAGUGGAGGUUCAAGAACAAGAAGUUAGCAGUUCAGAGGGGCAAAAGUUGGCAUAUCGGCAAAGAUCAAUUCAUGUAAUUUUCACUGGUCGGCAGAUGUAGAACUAGGAGGGGUUGGACUUUGACCAUCUUUCCUAUCCUUCUCACCAGUUGGAGAUGCAGCUCCAUUUCUGCCUGCAGCAGCCAUUUCCUUUGCCUCUUCUAGAGUCAAAUGGGAAGCCAUGCCCUCCUCAAUGGGAAGGGUUCUCUUUGAGCCCUGCAAAGCAACACCAAGAACAAGAUUUUCCUCUAAUGCAGGUCUUGACACUGAUGGCUG